UACGUAGGUGGCAAGCGUUGUCCGGAUUUAUUGGGUUUAAAGGGUGCGUAGGCGGCUUUGUAAGUCAGUGGUGAAAUAUGGCAGCUCAACUGUCAAGGUGCCAUUGAUACUGCAGAGCUUGAGUACAGAUGAGGUAGGCGGAAUUGACGGUGUAGCGGUGAAAUGCUUAGAUAUCGUCAAGAACACCUAUAGCGAAGGCAGCUUACUAGGCUGUAACUGACGCUGAGGCACGAAAAGUGUGGGGAUCAAACAGGG
rnacentral:rRNA from 1 species